CUCUCCCAGAGCUUGCACAGUUUUCUCCAGGCAUUUGUGCAACACUGGGGGCCCGUGCACAGCUGGAGAGGCUAGCUCAAGCAUGUGCAUGGUGGUGGGGGUCAGUCAUGGGAUGUAAACUGGCCUCUGCACUCCCACAGCCACAGUGGCGUAGGCUGGCUGCUGGUGUAGUCCUGAGCUCUAGCGGGGACAGAGGGAGAGACCAGGCAGCUGGCCUCAGUGAAUGCAGAUAUCUAUGGAGUGAAAGCUAGCGAAACCUGCAGAAGGUCUAUGGCAGCUGUGCUGGCUGCUGGCUUCUUCACUGGCAAAAUUUGCUGGGGUUGACUACGGAGUAGGUUACUGAGACCCAUGAUCACCCCCACUGGGUGACUGCUGUUGGUAGCCCCUGCUUUCCUUCUUGUUCCCAGCUGUCUCUGUAUAUCUUGGCUCUGCCAGCCUGGGUGGGAUAAAAGCGAAGCGGGGCCCUCCUGAAGUGCCCCAAAAGGCUGAGGGAGCUCGUUGCUUACCCUACUCUUCCUUUCCCAGUGAGGGGUACUCUUUCUAGCUGGGACGUUCCCUCUUAGCUCUGAGCGAUGCUGGCUUGGUGGAUGGGACGAAGCUGGCAAAAUGGAUCUGCCUUCCUUCUCUUUCUGUGCAGUUAUUCUCAGGUUUUUUUGUCCCAGAGUGUUGCUGAAAUUUCUUUGAUGGACUCCAGAGCCCUCCCAGAGCUGCUUUUGUUGCCAAACAUACUCCACACUUCAGCAACGGCAAAAUAAGUUUUAAGUCAAAAACUAAAAAAGAUCCUCUACACAAUACAUCUGGAAGAUGACAUCCUGGAAGGCGCAUCUUCAACUACUUCAGUUAUUUUUACAGUGUUGCUGAUCAUAUUGAUAGAAGAGGACAGAGGAUUAAUGAAGAAAAACAGCCCUCCCCAAAAGAAACUGAGUGGAGAGAAUGAGGUAAAUAUGAAGGGAAUAGAGAAGAUCAUAAUGAGUGAGUUGAA